UUUUAACAGACUUUUUUGGAUAACAGAUUUUUUCUUGGAUCUUAGGUUUUUUUUUUAUCAUAGAGGAUAAUGUCAACAGCAAGCAGAGAUAAUUUUUUAAAAGAUUUAUUUAUAUAUUUGAAAGAGUAGCAGAGACAGGAAAAGCAGAUAAGGGGAGAUGUUCCAGCUACUGGUUCACUGUCCAAAUAGCCCGGUGCUAGGAGUUUCAUCUGGGUCACCCAGAUGGGUGGCAGGGCCCAAGUACUUGGCCUGUUUUUAACUUCUUUCUCAGGCCAAUAGCAAGGAGCUGGAUCAGAAUUGGAGUAGCCAGGACACAAACAAGCUGCCAUUAGGACAUGGCAACACAGGAGAAGCUUUAUCCUCAAUGCCAUGCCAACCCCACGCAGAGAUAAUUUUAUUUCUUGCCUUCUGAUUUCUUUUUCUUCUCUAAGUCCUCCUACAGGAUAGCUAGUACUUAGUACUAAGUUGAAAAAAAAAAGUAGCAAAAUUGGGCAAACUUGCCUUGUAGCUAAUUUCUCUUUGCUUAUGGAGUUAGCUGUGUGGUUUUCAUAUACAGCUCUUACUGUGCAAAGCUGGGUUCCUCCAGUAUCAGGUUUUUUUGAGUUUUUAAUCAUGAAUGGAUGUUAACAGAUGUCAAAUGCUCUUUUUGCAUGUGUUGAGAUGAUUCUUUUUCUUUCAUUUUGUCAGUGUGCUCUAUCACAUUUUUUGUUAGCAAAUCCUGAACAGUUCCAAAGAUUAUUACCACUUGGUCAUGAUCCUUUUAGUAAAUAUACUGUUAAUUUCAACUUACUGAUUUUUUUAAGGAUGUUUGCAUCUUUGAUCAUCAGCAAUAUUAGACUGUAGGGUUUUUUUUGUUGUUGUUACUUGUAGUUGUUUGCCUGUUUUUCUUAUAAAGGCAUUUAAAUUUUUUUUCCUUAUUUGAAAGGCAGAGAGACAGAGAUAGAGACAGAAAUACACAGAGAGAUCUUCCACUAUCUCAUUCACUCUCUGAAAGUCUUUUUCAACCAGGACUGGGCCAUGCCAAAGUCAGGAUCAUGGAACUCAAUCUAGGUCUCCCAUAGGGUGGCCAGUAUUCAAGGGCUUGAGGCAUCACGUGUUGCCUCCCAAGGUGCACAUUAGCAGGAAUAGGGAUGAGAAGAGGAGCUGGAACUCUAACUCUAGCACUCUGAUGUGGGAUUCAGGCAUCCCACGAGGAAUCCUAAAUACCAGGCCAAACAUCAGCCACACCUUUUACUCAUCAAGGCUAUGUUGGAAAGUUAUUUUCUGGAAGAGUUAGGAAGAACUGGUGUCAAUUCUUUGCAUGUUUUAUAAAUUCAGCCAUGAUGUCAUGCAGCCCUGGGCUCUUCUUGGAAAAUUUUUGAUUACUUAUGCCAUCUCCUUAUUUGUUACUGGUCUAUUCAGGUUUUCUAUUCCACCUUGACUCAAUGUGGCAACUCGGAUAUUUCUAGAAAUUUACCCAUUUUAUCUAGAUUACCAAUAUUUUUGGAAUAUAAUUGCUAACAGGGGUCAAUUAUGAUCCCUUUACCUCUGCGGCAUCUGUUGCAGUGUCUUCUCUUUCAGUUCAGAUUUUAUAUAUCUGCAUCUUCUUAACUAAGGACUUGAUUUAAAAAAAAGCUCAUUGUCAUUUUUUUCUAAUUCUUUAUUUCUGCUCUUUUAUUUCCUCUACUUUGCUAGCUUUGAGUUGAAUUUAAUGUUCUUUAUCUAGUUCUUGAGCUUAUUUUGUUCACUUGAGAUCUUUCUUUAUGCUUACAGUAGAUAUUUAUCCCUACUAACUUCUCUCUUAAUGCUGCUUUUGUCCUACCCCAUAGAUUUGGUAUGCUGUCUUUGUGUUUUCAUUUGUCUCAUCAAUGUUUUGAACUAUAAUUUGAAGCUAAUUCAAAAAUUCUCUUUGUUUCUGCCUGAGACACAGCAAGAAGGAGAAAGAGCAGGAGCAACAGUGAGAGCAAAAGCAAGUGAGCCCCAAAUGCUCACUGCAGUCUGGAGGCCCACGCUGGAAGCCACAAACUCAAUCAAGGUCUACCACAUGGGUGGCACGAACCCCACCCUGAGAUGUCACUGCCAACACACAAGAUCUGUGCCAGCAGGAAGCUGGACCAGGCGCUGGACUGAGGUCUCCCACACGGGUGGCAUGAACCCCACCUUGAGAUGUCACUGCCGGCUCACAAGGUCUGUGCUGGCAGGAAGCUAGACUCAGGAGCUGGACUGAGGGAAUGAACCCACGUACUCGAAUCUAGGAUGCAGAGCAUCCCAGCCAGGAAGCCCAGACGUACACACACAUACUUCAAGAAGGAAAAGACAUCACUAAGAACCUAACAGCCAGGAAAGCAUUCCAUAGCCCAGCGAGGGCCUCAGUUUAGAAAGGCAGAAAGAGUGGCAGAUGGAGAUGUACCAUCCAAGGGUUCAUUUCCCAAACGUUUGCAACAGCCAGAAUUGGGUCAGGCCAAAUCCAGGAGCCAGAAAUUCCAUCCAGGUCUAUCACAUCAGCAGGAAGUUGGAACCAGGAGUGGCACCAGGAUUCAAACCCACGCACUCCAAUGUGAGAUGUAAGCACCCCAAGGUAUGUCUUAACCCUUCACUAAAUGCCUACCCCUGAAACUGAGCUUUAAAAUUCCUGAAUGAUACUUCUGUGUUUUCUUAUUUGGAGGAUUGCCAGGGCUUCAAAGUGAGAUCAAAACCACUCACCAAGCCAAAACAGGUGAAGAUGACUGGUUUGCCUCUAAAAGUCCAAACUACCCUCACUCUCAGUGCCUAACUGCAAAUGAGCCAGUGAGCACACACACCUCUCAGGGAAGUGUUCACAUUUCUAUGAGCUGCAGAACAGAGGCCAGCACUGUGCUCCUUAGCAAAACAUUCCCUAGGUCUGAGAUCAACAGGACUCAGAAGUCGGACUCGAGAGGUCAUGUCAAAAUAAUAAAGCCAGCUACAGGUUCCAGUAUACUGUUCUGAUAAUGCCUCUGAACAGAACAAUUCUCUGUAGUGCUCCCAUCGCGACCAGAAAGAAUGAAAUGUAUGAAUUUGAUAGAGGACACUUGUUAUACACAAUAAAGUCACAGAUAACAGCCAGCUGCUUGAUAUGAAAAACCACAUACUUGACAUAUUCUGCUUUUAAGAACUGAUUUAUAUUCUUAUUUUAUAUUUUAAUGGUAGAGAGAAAGAGACACAGAGCUUAUCUUCCACUGCUAGUUCACUCCCGCAGGCCUACAACAGCUGGGGCCCGGAGAGGUGGAAAUCGGGGGUUAGGAGCUCAGUCUGAGUUGCCCAUGUAGGUGGCAAAGACCCAAGUACUAGAGCCAUCAUCUGCUACUGCCCCAGGUGAGCAUUAAUAAAAAACCUGGAACUGGGAGCAGAGCUGGGAUUCAAGCCCAGGCACUCUGAUAUGGGAUGCAAGCGUCUCAAGCGGCGUUUCAACCACUGUGCCACACACUGACCCCGUACUAACUGAUUAAGACAAAGGGACCAAGGGAGUAAAUGAACACGGUGUCACUUAAACUCCACAUGUACUUUUUAAAUCUGUGUCUCAGAACGCACUUGUCAAUCACAACUAUUUCUAAACAAUGCCAUAUAUUUUCCGAAAAUAUUUUGUGUUCUCCUAAGGCAAAAUAUAACACUAAGCAGAAGUGAAAAAUCACAUCAUAAUUAGAAAUUUUGUGAAAAAAAUCUUAAUAUCCUCAAUAUUGGAAUAUGGCUCUUUAUACAGCUAUUGCAAAAAAUAACCUAAUAACAUUAGUAUAAUGUUACAAUAAUAUAGCAGCCAUGUGAAAUGGCAAUACUGACAUAUUAAGGAGAAUGUUACGACAAACACAUAUAAUGUAUUCAAUUUGAUAUUAACAACAAUUCUCUGACAUAAGGGCAGAAUUACUCUAAUUCCGUGGAUGACUGUGUACUGCACUUGAAGAAGCAAUUAACAUCUUUUCCAAGACAUGAGAAGCACACUCUGCCUGGUCAGAAUGCCAGCUUUGGUUCUAGAACUUAAGUUCAUUCUGAAUCCUAAAUUGGAGUGAUGAAACCCUGC